rnacentral:rRNA from 1 species
GGGGGGGGGGGGGGGGGGGGGGGGGGGGGGGGGGGGGGGGGGGGGGGCGGUGCGGGGGGGGGGUGCUCGAGUGGCGAACGGGUGGGUAACACGGGAGUAACCUGCCCUUGACUUUGGGAUAACUUCAGGAAACUGGGGCUAAUACCGGAUAGGCGCUCCUGCUGCAUGGUGGGGGUUGGAAAGUUUCUGCGGUUGGGGCUGGACUCGCGGCUUCUCAGCUUGUUGGUGGGGUAGUGGCUUACCAAGGCUUUGACGGGUAGCCGGCCUGAGAGGGUGACCGGCCACAUUGGGACUGAGAUACGGCCCAGACUCCUACGGGAGGCAGCAGUGGGGAAUAUUGCACAAUGGGCGGAAGCCUGAUGCAGCAACGCCGCGUGCGGGAUGACGGCCUUCGGGUUGUAAACCGCUUUCGCCUGUGACGAAGCGUGAGUGACGGUAAUGGGUAAAGAAGCACCGGCUAACUACGUG